GGCACUUAUAAACAUCUAUUGUUUGGCAUAAUCAUAAGAUCUGCUUGAUCUACCUGUCUGGGAUUACUUGGACCACAUCUUUGAUUUCAUUGGAUACAAUGAGUUCUUGGUGAGAAAUUUCCUUUACCAAUGUAGAUUAGUAACUUCUUUGCAAACUAGAAUCUUCAAGAUUUUGCCAGAAUUCAUGGCCAUUCAUUUAAAGAGUAAUCUUUCAUGUCAUUUGACACACAAUCCAAAGACCUGACAAAGAAUAUGAUUUCCAGCUGACAAUAGCAUCUUUGGUGCCACUGUUAAGAUGCGCUUCCUUAAAAUGAUUGAAUCCACUCAGAACACAACUUUUUAACAUUUCUUUUUCUGCACUUAGCUGCCCGAUUUCUUCUGUUAAGACCUGCUUGGUGGGUUAGGUCCUGACUGGGAUACUGAUUCUAAGUGCUCAACUCUACACAAAAUAGUAUAUAAACAAAAAUGGACCAAUCAUAUGGAGUAGGCUAUUUCUAUCACCUCUGCACCAGGAAACCUUCCUAGAAGUUUAGAAAAUGUGGAAGGCAUCUUCUCUUUCCCUAACAUGAUUCUUUUAUUCAACCAGCUACCAUCCUCAUUCUGUAUUCAUUACAUGUGCUAGCAUCUUUUAUAUUUUGGGCACACUUGGACUUCAAAUUAAGCCAUCUAAAAGCUUACCUCAUAAUUCCUGAUUGCAAAUAAACAAGAACAAAUCAUUAUUCAAGGUAUAUUUAAUUCAUGAGGACAACAAGGCCAUCUUCAACACUUAUAGUAAAGGCAAAGGAGAGAUUGAGAUUAGAGUUAGGAUACAAAAAUCUACAACUAGAAAUUGGCAGAACUCUCUUACUAAUGCUAUAUCACCAAGCGUCUAAGCCCAGAGAGACAUUCUUAAGGAAGGAAUGGUGUCCAAAUACCUGACUUGGUCAAUUUAUUUCAGCCAGGAAUACCUUUAUCUUUUAUGUUGUGAGCAAGAACAAAACUUGCAUAAUUGAAGUAAAUUUCCACUUCCUCAAUGUGUUUCAAGGGUCUAAAGAAAUAGAAUUCAUUUCUCUUGUUAUUCAUUCAUUUCAGUCAUGUUCAGCUCUUCAUGACCCCAUCUGAGAUUUUCUUGCCAAAGAUAGAGUGGUUUGCCUUUUUCUUCUCCAGCUUUUUUUUUUUAAAGAUGAUGAAAUAGAGACAUACAGGUUUAAGUGACUCGCCCAGGAUCACACAGCUAUUAUUGUCUGAGGUUGGAUCUGAACUCAGAAAGAGGAGUCUUCCUGACUCCAAGUCUGCCACUCUAUUCACUGUACCACCUAACUACCAUAGAGCUAACUCCUGAGGUUUGUUUUUUUUUUUUAAUAGGCAUCCUUACUUGAAGUAUUUAGGAGUGCUUUGUUUCCAUAUUUUCAUAGGUAAAUAUAUUCAAGGAAUUUUAAUAAUAUAAUUUUUGAAGCAUUUUAUAUUGGUUUCAUAUUAGGAUAGUGCUCAUGAUUUCAUUUUCUUUUGUAAAUUUACAUGGGAAGAAAUUCCCUUUAUUAGGGCAGGUACACAUUCUUCUUUUCAAUUUACAUUCAUAUAAAGCUGCCCAGUGUAUGAGAGCUAAGUGAUUUG
ensembl:lncRNA